UCGUGCAGCGGCUUCGCCCCGCCGGACUUCAACCAUUGCCUCAAGGAUUGGGACUAUAAUGGCCUUCCUGUGCUCACCACCAACGCCAUCGGCCAGUGGGAUCUGGUGUGUGACCUGGGCUGGCAGGUGAUCCUGGAGCAGAUCCUCUUCAUCUUGGGCUUUGCCUCCGGCUACCUGUUCCUGGGUUACCCCGCAGACAGGAGGUCGAAGACGAUUCGCUGGACUCUGCAGUCUUCUCUGGACUUCUAUUCAAUGGUCUAUCCAUGUCUCAACUUCACUCUCCAUCAAGAAAUACCCCUUCCCUACCUCUUCCGCGCAAGGGAAUGACUCGACCUCUAUGGACUAUUAGUCCCAUUCCCACUAAUUAGUGGCCCCCUAUCCGUGAAUCAAUGGCCUCAUCUCCAAAGAGAAUAGUCUCAUCCCCACUAACAGCCCACAUGGACUGUUCGCUCCAUCUCAGUGACCUCAUUCCUGAAGAUCAAUAUGUUAAUUCCUAAACACCAACAGCUCCAUUCCCACUGAUCAAUAGUUCAACUUCACAAACAAAUUACCCCAUUUCUGACCAGCGACCCCUCCCCUACAAGUCAACUAACUAUCUCCAAAGACAAUAUCCUCAGACCCAGUAACCCACAGUCCCAUGCCUGCCACCAAAUGACCCAACGCUCUGUAGGGGAAUAGCCCAUAGAUUAGCAGUCAUACCCUCAUGGAUCCUCAGGGCUUUGAGAUCCUCUCACCGAAAUCCCCGUUUCCAUGAGUCGGUAGCUUCACCUCUAGAGAUCAACAACCCAAUCCCAGCAACCAAUAACUCUUCCCACAGAUCAAAAAUCUCAUCUCUGAUUCUGGUCACCUUCACCACUGACCAGAUGCUCUCACUGCACUAAACUUCCGAUUAGACUCAGCCCCAUUGAUCCACAGUUCCAUCCAAGUGGAUUAAUAACUCAACUUCUGUGGAUC
rnacentral:lncRNA from 1 species